ACAAACUUGGUCAUUUAGAGGAAGUAAAAGUCGUAACAAGGUUUCCGUAGGUGAACCUGCGGAAGGAUCAUUACUGAGUGAAAAGGAGCCGUUCCAUACGAGGCUUCGAACUCCCACCCGAUGUCUACUACACCGUUUGUUGCUUCGGCGAGCCCGCCCCAGGGCCGCCGGAGGGCCGUACCACGCCUUCUGGCCCGCUGCUCGCCGACAGCCCCCCUUUCUUAAAUCUUAACAAACCUGUCGUCUGAGUGGUUAUGUACAAUUAGCGAAAACUUUCAACAACGGAUCUCUUGGUUCUGGCAUCGAUGAAGAACGCAGC
rnacentral:misc_RNA from 1 species